AUUGAACGCUGGAGGCAGGCCUAACACAUGCAAGUCGAGCGAGCGGCGGACGGGUGAGUAAUGUCUGGGAAACUGCUUGAUGGAGGGGGAUAACUACUGGAAACGGUAGCUAAUACCGCAUACCAUCAGAUGUGCCCAGAUGUGAUUAGCUAGUAGGUGGGGUAACGGCUCACCUAGGCGACGAUCCCUAGAUGGUCUGAGAGGAUGACCAGCCACAUGGGACCGGAGGCACGGUCCAGACUCCUACGGGAGGCAGCAGUGGGGAAGAUUGAAGAAUGGGCGCUAGCCAGAUGAAGCCAUGCCGCGUGUGUGAAGAGGUCCUUAGGGUUGUAAAGCACGUUCAGCGGGUAGGCGUUACACGCAGAAGAAGCACCGGCUAACUCCGUGCCAGCAGCCGCGGUAAUUC
rnacentral:rRNA from 1 species